AACGCAAAUUGCACUCCCUGGUAUUCCGGGGAGUAUGCCUGUUUGAGGGUCGUUAGAAUAAAAAUCGAGGCGUCGCUCUUUUUUUUAAGGGUGAUCGCGUCGGAAUUGAGCCGUCUUUCAAAUGUUAAUUCAUGUCAAAGUGGCUUAAAAUUCAUCCAUCCGGUACGAUUAAAGCGUAUUUAAGAUCAAUUUUGAUUAAGAACGCGCGAUGACGGACCAUCUCAUGUAGUACGUUUGACCUGGCGUCGUCAGGAUCAUUCGUAUACGAUACUCAAACUUUUGACCUCAAAUCAGGUAAGAAUACCCGCUGAACUUAA
rnacentral:misc_RNA from 1 species